rnacentral:rRNA from 1 species
CAGUAGCCGCGGUAAUGCGGAGGGGGCUAGCGUUGUUCGGAAUUACUGGGCGUAAAGCGCACGUAGGCGGCUUGGUAAGUUAGAGGUGAAAGCCCGGAGCUCAACUCCGGAAUUGCCUUUAAGACUGCCGAGCUAGUAGGUGAGAGAGGUAAGUGGAAUUCCGAGUGUAGAGGUGAAAUUCGUAGAUAUUCGGAGGAACACCAGUGGCGAAGGCGGCUCACUGGUCCAUUACUGACGCUGAGGUGCGAAAGCGUGGGGAGCAAACAGGAUUAGAUACCCCCGUAGUCCCUGUCUCUUAUAC